ACGUGGGGCGUAAAAAGAAAAAGGAGGGAAAGAACAAUGCCCUUGGCCGAAUGGGAAUGGAAGGAGGAAAAAAAAGGUUAGUCCUUUUCAUGCAAAAUUUAGAGUUUUCAUAAAAAUUCCUCUCCCUUACAAAAGGGUCCUUGCCGUGGGAGGGAUAGGAGGUCUAAGCAAGGCAUUUUAUUAAUUUUGUCAUGGAAGAACAAGAGGGAAUUUGGUUUGGAGAAAAUAGCUAACGUCGACCCUAAUUCCUCGAAAAAGAAAGGAAAGACAAAAUCGUCGAUGAAUAUCUCGGAGUUUAUGGUUUGUGUUUCUAUAAUUUGAACUAACUUGUAAUUGUUGCAUAUUGAUUUUUUUAUGUAUGGUAAGAAUAUAAGGUGAGAUUCUUUGUUCAAUUGAGAUUAUUUGGACUGAUUUGAAUUGAUUGAUGAUCAUGAGAACUAAAUUGAAUAUACGUGAAAUAUGUGAAUGUUCAUAGAAAUAUGAAAUUGAAUAUAUGUUGAGAUAA